GAUGAACGCUGGCGGCGUGCCUAAUACAUGCAAGUCGAGCGAACAGACGAGGAGCUUGCUCCUCUGACGUUAGCGGCGGACGGGUGAGUAACACGUGGAUAACCUACCUAUAAUACUGGGAUAACUUCGGGAAACCGGAGCUAAUACCGGAUAAUAUAUUGAACCGCAUGGUUCAAUAGUGAAAGACGGCUUUGCUGUCACUUAUAGAUGGAUCCGCGCCGCAUUAGCUAGUUGGUAAGGUAACGGCUUACCAAGGCAACGAUGCGUAGCCGACCUGAGAGGGUGAUCGGCCACACUGGAACUGAGACACGGUCCAGACUCCUACGGGAGGCAGCAGUAGGGAAUCUUCCGCAAUGGGCGAAAGCCUGACGGAGCAACGCCGCGUGAGUGAUGAAGGUCUUCGGAUCGUAAAACUCUGUUAUUAGGGAAGAACAAAUGUGUAAGUAACUAUGCACGUCUUGACGGUACCUAAUCAGAAAGCCACGGCUAACUACGUG
rnacentral:rRNA from 1 species